UAAACAGGUGGUGCAUGGUUGUCGUCAGCUCGUGUCGUGAGAUGUUGGGUUAAGUCCCGCAACGAGCGCAACCCUCGUUCUAUGUUGCCACCACGUAAUGGUGGGAACUCAUGGGAUACUGCCGGGGUCAACUCGGAGGAAGGUGGGGAUGACGUCAAAUCAUCAUGCCCCUUAUGUCUUGGGCUUCACGCAUGCUACAAUGGCCGGUACAAAGGGCUGCAAUACCGUAGGGUGGAGCGAAUCCCAAAAAGCCGGUCCCAGUUCGGAUUGAGGUCUGCAACUCGACCUCAUGAAGUCGGAGUCGCUAGUAAUCACAGAUCAGCAACGCUGCGGUGAAUACGUUCCCGGGUCUUGUACAAACC
rnacentral:rRNA from 1 species